rnacentral:lncRNA from 1 species
UUGUAACCUUUGAAGAAAAUGGGUGCAUAGUUUAUAUUUGCAAAUAUUUAAAAUGUGGAUAGAAAUAUAACUUAGGGAUCAAGUCAUAUUAGUGGUUAAGAUCUAUUAGAUUAGUGGUUAAAAAUUUAACCACUAAAAGAUUACAUGGUUAGUUUGAUACAGAAGUCACUAAAAUAUUUUGUAACCAGUGAUCUGCACAGCAAAAGAAACUACCAUCAGAGUGAACAGGCAACCUACAAAAUGGGAGAAAAUUUUCGCAAUCUACUCAUCUGACAAAGGGCUAAUAUCCAGAAUCUACAAUGAACUCAAACAAAUUUACAAGAAAAAAACAAACAAGCCCAUCAAAAAGUGGGAGAAGCUCACUGGAAGUUCAGCUUGGAGUCUGACCUUAGCACUACCAAGGACAAAAUGAGUUACUGUGGCCAAGUCACAACUAAUCAAUACAUUAUGUUUUCAAAUGUAAACUGAGAAAACAAGUCAGAGGACAUAUCAAGAGUC